GGGGCGCCUGGGUGGCGCAGUCGGUUAAGCGUCCGACUUCAGCCGGGUCACGAUCUCACGGUCCGUGAGUUCGAGCCCCGCGUCGGGCUCUGGGCUGAUGGCUCAGAGCCUGGAGCCUGUUUCCGAUUCUGUGUCUCCCUCUCUCUCUCUGCCCCUCUCCCGUUCGUGCUCUGUCUCUCUCUGUCCCAAAAAUAAAUAAACGUUGAAAAAAAAUUUAAAAAAAGAAAAAAAAAAAAAGAAAAGCCCUCAGCAGGAGAGACCCUCGGGAUCCACCGGCCACUCUGAUUCCAGCCCAUGUCAAAGAACCAUGGGGACGUUUGCAUUCUGCUCGAAAGAUUUACACUUGCUUCUGGGAUCCUCUUCCGUCUUGCAGACCCCCAAGGUCGAGGGUGGACACGGAGAUGGGACAGCUGAGCAGCGGAGCGUGUGUGGACGUAGAACCACAGCCACAUGAGUUUACGGUUCCUCCAACCUCUCGUCUCUUGGUCGGCCUUGUGACGUGCCUUGACCAGCAGAGUCUACCUCUGGGUGACGGGAGCUACGCCAGCUUGUGUGACCUUAGAUAGAUUUGGGUGCCUCAAGCCCCUCCUGAAAGAUCCUGUUGCCUAGGGGAAAAGCCACCAUUUCUGGAAAGGAACUUCCAGAACACAUUCCUCCUGGAGGAAUUCAGCCACGGG
rnacentral:lncRNA from 1 species